GGUUUGAUUCUGGCUCAGAUUGAACGCUGGCGGGAUGCUUACACAUGCAAGUCGAACGGCAGCACGGACUUCGGUCUGGUGGCGAGUGGCGAACGGGUGAGUAAUGUAUCGAACGUGCCUAGUAGCGGGGAUAACUACGCGAAAGCGUAGCUAGUACCGCAUACGCCCUUCGGGGGAAAGCGGGGACCUUCGGGCCUCGCACUAUUAGAGCGGCCGAUAUCGGAUUAGCUAGUUGGUGGGGUAACGGCUCACCAAGGCGACGAUCCGUAGCUGGUUUGAGAGGACGACCAGCCACACUGGGACUGAGACACGGCCCAGACUCCUACGGGAGGCAGCAGUGGGGAAUUUUGGACAAUGGGGGAAACCCUGAUCCAGCCAAUCGGCGAUGAAUACCUUCGGUCGUGUAUACUUUUGGCAGGUGAAACGGUAUCAUAAUCCUUUGUCGACGGUGGUCUGCGUAGAAAUGGGGUCGCUAAUACUGUGCCAAGUGCCUGGUGGUAUUACGUGGGGUGGCAGGCAUAUCGUUCAUUGGCAAAGUGCAGGCGGCUGCAGGAUGGAAAUCCGCAGAGCUUAAAUCUUUGGAACUGCAUUUAACCACAGCUGAAAACAGAGGAAAAAUUCGCGUAGCAGUGAAUGCGUAGAUAUGGCGGGAGGAACAUCAUUGAUAGUUGCGGUUCUCUGAUGUAAUACUGACAUUUCAUGCACGGAGGCGGAAAAACAGGAUUAGGAUACUCCGGGUAGAUCCUGCCUGUACG
rnacentral:misc_RNA from 1 species